rnacentral:hammerhead_ribozyme from 1 species
AUCCAAUUGAUGAGUCCCAAAUAGGACGAAGUGUUGCACAUUCUGGAU